CGCGGCAAUGCGUAAUACUAGACAGGAGACGCACGCACACAUUUCCCUCUCAACCCUCCCUCAUUUUCACUUUGCCUCGUCUAGCAAGCAAGUUAACGAUAGCCCGCUUCACGCUUCCCAUCGCUUGCUUUAGUCGCUAUUGUAGCAUUUCAUGCCUUAGGUUCAAUGCUUGUAUGCAUAACCAGUCCUGUUAAAGAAAUAUUAUGAAAAGUUUAGUUUGUAUGCUUAGGCGCCAGUGUACAUUCAUCCACUCGCGUGACGUGUCGAAAAUAGUAAAUGAUUUCUCGUGCUUGUAGGAGAGAAUGACUUAAGAAUACGUCCGGGAAGCCGAUUAUUUAUCACAAAGUCUGAUGAAACAGCUGUCUGGUCAGGCAGGUUUUUUUUGGAACAAAGCCGCAUACAGGAAGAAGUGAGGAACGAAGAUGACGAAAGACUGAGAGUAGCGAGGCAAGGACUGCUGGGGUGCAGGAGGGAUGCCAACAAGACUGAAAUAAGAGGACAAACUACAGCCCCACAAAAGUGCCUACGCUGAGAGCAGCAGCACCAGCAGCAGGAGCUACAGCAACAGCUACAGCUACAGCAGCAGCAGCGUACCUGGCUCCACGCUUCUAUGUGGGUCUACCUGCUUGGAUAAAUCUCCCCCCUGCUGGCUUGUGUGAGUCUUUU
ensembl:lncRNA